rnacentral:rRNA from 1 species
UACGAAGGGGCUAGCGUUGCUCGGAAUCACUGGGCGUAAAGGGCGCGUAGGCGGCGUAACAAGUCACUUGUGAAAUCUCCGGGCUUAACCGGAGCGGCCAAGUGAUACUGUUGUGCUAGAGUGCGGAAGGGGCUACUGGAAUUCUCGGUGUAGCGGUGAAUGCGCAGAUAUCAGGAGGAACACCGGUGGCGAAGGCGGUCUCUGGGCCGUAACUGACGCUGAGGAGCGAAAGCAUGGGGAGCGAACAGG